AGUAAAAGAGUGAAGUAGAGUAGAUUAGAAGGAUCAUCUGACUCUGUUAAACUACUCUACUUCGAGUUUUUGCCC
rnacentral:pre_miRNA from 1 species